GACGAACGCUGGCGGCGUGCUUAACACAUGCAAGUCGAACGGACAGGCCCUGCUUUUGUGGGGUGCUCGAGUGGCGAACGGGUGAGUAACACGUGAGUAACCUGCCCUUGACUUUGGGAUAACUUCAGGAAACUGGGGCUAAUACCGGAUAGGAGCUCCUGCUGCAUGGUGGGGGUUGGAAAGUUUCGGCGGUUGGGGAUGGACUCGCGGCUUAUCAGCUUGUUGGUGGGGUAGUGGCUUACCAAGGCUUUGACGGGUAGCCGGCCUGAGAGGGUGAACGGCGACAUGGGGACUGAGAGACGGACCAGAAGCCUACGGGAGGCAGUAGGGGGGAAUAUUGCACAAUGGGCGGAAGCCUGAUGAAGCAACGCCGCGUGCGGGAUGACGGGCUUCGGGGUGUAAACAGCUUUCGCCGGUGACGAAGAGGGAGUGACGGUAAUGGGUAAAGAAGCAACGGCUAACUACGUG
rnacentral:rRNA from 1 species